rnacentral:rRNA from 1 species
UACGGAGGGAGCUAGCGUUGUUCGGAAUUACUGGGCGUAAGGCGCGCGUAGGCGGUUUUCCAAGUCAGUGGUGAAAGCACGGGGCUCAACCCCGGAAUAGCCUUUGAAACUGGAAAACUAGAAUCUUGGAGAGGUCAGUGGAAUUCCGAGUGUAGAGGUGAAAUUCGUAGAUAUUCGGAAGACCACCAGUGGCGAAGGCGACUGACUGGACAAGUAUUGACGCUGAGGUGCGAAAGCGUUGGGAGCAAACAGG